AGAGUUUGAUCAUGGCUCAGAUUGAACGCUGGCGGCAUGCUUUACACAUGCAAGUCGAGCGGCAGCGCGGGGCAACCUGGCGGCGAGCGGCGAACGGGUGAGUAAUGCAUCGGAACGUGUCCCGGAGUGGGGGAUAACGCCGCGAAAGCGGCGCUAAUACCGCAUAUGCUCUGAGGGGGAAAGUGGGGGACCUGCAAGGGCCUCAUGCUCUGGGAGCGGCCGAUGUCCGAUUAGCUUGUUGGUGAGGUAAUGGCUUACCAAGGCGACGAUCGGUAGCUGGUCUGAGAGGAUGAUCAGCCACACUGGGACUGAGACACGGCCCAGACUCCUACGGGAGGCAGCAGUGGGGAAUUUUGGACAAUGGGGGCAACCCUGAUCCAGCCAUGCCGCGUGCGGGAAGAAGGCCUUCGGGUUGUAAACCGCUUUUGGCCGGGAAGAAAAGGACGCGGUUAAUACCUGCGUUUUUUGACGGUACCGGCAGAAUCAGCACCGGCUAACUACGUGCCAGCAGCCGCGGUAAUACGUAGGGUGCGAGCGUUAAUCGGAAUUACUGGGCGUAAAGCGUGCGUAGGCGGUUCGUUGUGUCUGUGGUGAAAGCCCCGGGCUUAACCUGGGAAUGGCCAUGGAAACUGGCGAGCUGGAGUGUGGCAGAGGGGGGUGGAAUUCCGCGUGUAGCAGUGAAAUGCGUAGAGAUGCGGAGGAACACCGAUGGCGAAGGCAGCCCCCUGGGCUAACACUGACGCUGAGGCACGAAAGCGUGGGGGAGCAAACAGGAUUAGAUACCCUGGUAGUCCACGCCCUAAACGAUGUCAACUGGGUGUUCGGGAAGCGAUUCCUGGGUACCGUAGCUAACGCGUGAAGUUGACCGCCUGGGGAGUACGGCCGCAAGGUUAAAACUCAAAGGAAUUGA
rnacentral:rRNA from 1 species